rnacentral:rRNA from 1 species
CGGUAAUUCCAGCUCCAAUAGUGUAUAUUAAAGUUGCUGCGGUUAAAAAGCUCGUAGUUGGAUUUCGGAGAUGCACUCAUGCCCUGGUUCAGCCAUCAUUUUUACAUGGUGGUUGUUCUGGGUUUUUGUGUGUUUGCAAUAAUAAUAUUUGGGAGCUUGUUUCUUAAUUGUCACUUGUGAUGAUUAAAAAGUGGGAUAUUUCGGAGACUUAUUAUAGCCACCAUCUAAGUCCAUCAUGCACUUCUUUUGCUGUGUGGUGUGCACUGGGUGGUGGCCUCCUAACUUCUGGUGACGACCCAAAUUCCCCUUCCUUAUUUAAGGGGGGGGUUCUCUUUUGGGGAGGUUCCAGAUAGUUUACUUUGAAAAAAUUAGGGUGUUCAAAGCAGGCGAAUUAGGCAAAAUCAUGAAUAUAUUAGCAUGGGAUAAUAGAAUAAGACGUUACUCUUAUUUUAAAGAUAAAACAAUUGGUUUCUAAGGGUAACGUAAUGAUUGAUAGGGAUAGUUGGGGUCGCUCGUAUUGAGUAGUUAGAGGUGAAAUUCUAGGAUUUACUCAAGACGGACUAAUGCGAAAGCAUUCGACAAGGAUGUUUUCAUUAAUCAAGAACGAAAGUUGAGGGAUCGAAGAUGAUCAGAUACCGUCGUAGUCUCAACUAUAAACUAUGUCGACCGAGGAUCCGGUAGUGUUACAUGGAUGACCUUCCGGGCACUCUGUGAGAAAUCACAAGUAUUUGGAUUUCGGGGGGAGUAUGGUCGCAAGGCUGAAACUUAAAGGGAUUGACGGAAGGGCACCACCAGGAGUGGAAUCUGCGGCUUAAUUUGACUCAACACGGGAAAACUUACCAGGUCCGUACACAGUAAGGAUUGACAGAUUGAGAGCUCUUUCUUGAUUUUGUGGGUGGUGGUGCAUGGCCGUUUUUAGUUGGUGGAGUAAUUUGUCUGGUUAAUUCCGUUAACGAACGAGACCUUAACCUAUUAAAUAGUUCUGGUAACCCAGUUUAAUUCAUCUCUUCUCUUUUUCUCUUUGCUUCGGUGGAGGGAUUAUUGGGGGGGGGAAACUGCUGCCAUUUAGGGUUCUUUACGGGCUCUAAUGUUGUAGUGGUGAAGGACUGAUAGUAUUGCUAGAAACUUCUUAGAGGGACUCUUUGCAUCUUUUAGUAAAUGGAAGUUUGAGGCAAAAACAGGUCUGUGAUGCCCUUCGAUGUUCUGGGCUGCACGCGCGUUACAAUGACACACGCAACGAGUUGAUCUUUUCCUCUCCCGAGGGGGUUGGGUAAUCUUCUUAAAGUGUGUCGUGAUGGGGAUAGAGCAUUGCAAUUAUUGCUCUUGAACGAGGAAUUCCUAGUAAUUGCAGGUCAUCAACCUGCGGUGAUUACGUCCCUGCCCUUUGUACACACCGCCCGUCGCUCCUACCGAUGGUUGUACCGAUGAGGACUCGGGAUUCUUUUGGGUGGUCGGCUUUUUAACCAAGGUCGAUAGCUUGAGGGGAGAACUUGUUCAAAUCUUUUUAACUAGAGGAAGGAGAAGUCGUAACAAGGUUUCCGUAGGUGAACCUGCGGAAG